UAUACAAUAGAACUUAUAUAAGAUUGUAAAUAUUAACUAAUUUCUUCUUGUUAUUUUAUUUUGUAGGUUGUGACAACUAUGGAUUGAGCUAAAUGGAGGGAUCUCUCUCUCUCUCUCUUUUUGUUAUUUCUGAAAACAAAAAUAAUUGAUUUUGACAGUUGGUUGUGAUAGCUAAUGUUUGUUUCAUGUUAGUAGUUUUGCUUGACUAAUCUACAAAGAUUUAUAUUGUGAUUUGUUUCAGCUUUUCAUCUUCUUAUGCGUAACAGAAGUGGCUUGAUCCCAAUCUUCCGAACAUUGGGUACGUAGGCAGCCGUUCAUACUAGACCGUAUCGGUGCAGCCACAAUUUUUUUUUUUUU